rnacentral:tmRNA from 1 species
GGGGAUGCAAGGACUCGACAAGGAAUGGACUUUAAAAACUGCAGGCCGAGCGUCAUCUCGCUAAUCUGACAAAAACAUCAACUGCCAACAGAAAUGUUGCUCCCGCGUUUGCUUUCGCAUAACACGGCAUCCGCUCUACGUUGCUUGAACGCCGAGGUCCGGGUGUGAUAUUUCAAGCUGGCUUACCGUUGUGCCGUAGGCGGUAGGCAAGAAAAUUCGGCAGAGAAUCUGGAAUGUAUUGCCUAAUUCGUUAUUCCUGAUUCUUACUUUGAAUUAGGCUACGCCCGUAGAGGUUUUUAGAGAAAUUUCUUGGACAGGGCUUCAAUGCCCUCAUCUCCACAU